CGCCGCGAGUCCCCGGCGGCCUCACCAGGCGGGGCUCGCCUUCACCGGGCGGUGAACGGCCGCGUCGCCCGCCGCUCGCUGUCCCUGCCAGACUUUCAAAAAGGGCGGCGAGUCACCGGUUGGUUACUCACAGUCACAGAUUUGCGAUCGGAUUCCAAGAAGCCGAGUGAAUCGCACGCAGCUCGUCGAGUCGAGUCCAGAGGGAGCGCUGCGCACGGACAGAGCCCCCCGCCAUGGCGGCCGCGGCGCGCGCGAUCAUCUGCGAGCUGGCGCCGGAGAAGGUGGCGUCGGUGCCCGCGCCGCCGAAGAAGCGCGACGCCGGGAAGGCGGUGCUGCAGCCCCGGCUCUGCACGCUGCGGUCGUACGGCGCCGGCAGCGGCGUGGUGACGCGGAGGAUUCUGACCGGGGCGGAGGACGGGAGCGGGGCCGCGGACUCGGGCGGCUCUGCUGCCUCCCCGUUCUUCGCAUCGCUGGCCGACUACAUCGAGAGCUCCGCAAGAGCCAGGACUUCGAGACCAUCUCCGGCCGCCUCGCCAUGGUGGCUUUCUUGGCGGCCGUGGCGGUGGAGCUGACGACGGGCAGCUCGCUGUUCAAGAAGCUGGACACGAUGGAGAUCGAGGAGGCGGCGGGGUUGUGCGUGGCCGUGGUCGCCUGCGCCGCAGCGUUCGCGUGGGCAUCCAGCGCGCGCACCAGGAUCGGUCGGAUGUUCACGCUGGGGUGCAACGCCUUCGUCGACUCCCUCAUCGAUAACAUCGUCGAGGCGCUCUUCUCCGAGAGCGAGCUCCAGGACUGGUCCGACGACGUAUAAGUAUGCAAAUAUAUACGCAUAGAGACUAGAUAUAGACAGUACAGUAUAUACAUAGAGAAAGUAUUUACAGAUAGAUCGUCAAGCUGUUGAGAUCCGCGGAUUUCGCAAGCUUCGUCCGUUGCAACGGCAAGGAAGUUGUUCUGAAUUUUUGUUCAGACAUUGAUCCUGAAUCCAAGGUUAUCAGACAUGGAUCAUACAGGGUUCCAAACAACUGGCAGCUGUUGUCCACGGCCCUGCAAGGAUGAACUGUGAUCACAAAUCUGCAGCCUGUGUAGGAAGACAAGCAGAGUAUCUUUGACCUUUGUGUAGCCAGGCAGUCCGUCAAGGUUGUGAAAUAUGUAGAUCUCUACAUUUCAUCAGAGAAAUAGUGUACAGGGGACGGGGAGGAUCAGCCCCUUAAUUCAACUGCACCUACUAGUAUAGUGAGAUUGUAAUUAGUGACUGAAGCAUGGGAGCAAAACACCGUGUUUUCUUUAGGGGUCAAAUCCGGAGUUUGACUCUUGAGAUUAUAAUACAUGGAGUGCAGACAAAUCUACACAUAUAUGUCUCCCUUGCUCCAUUCCUGUAUACGGGCUCUGAAGAAAUACAAACACUGCUGUGUCGAUUGAGCUGCAAAA